UACAGAGGUCUCAAGCGUUGUUCGGAUUCAUUGGGCGUAAAGGGUGCGUAGGUGGCGCUGUAAGUCGGGUGUGAAAUUUCGGAGCUUAACUCCGAAACUGCAUUCGAUACUGCGGUGCUUGAGGACUGGAGAGGAGACUGGAAUUCAUGGUGUAGCAGUGAAAUGCGUAGAGAUCAUGAGGAAGACCAGUGGCGAAGGCGGGUCUCUGGGCCGAUAUUGACGCUGAGGAGCGAAAGCGUGGGGAGCAAACAGG
rnacentral:rRNA from 1 species